AACAGGAUUAGAUACCCUGGUAGUCCACGCUGUAAACGAUGUCGACUUGGAGGUUGUGCCCUUGAGGCGUGGCUUCCGGAGCUAACGCGUUAAGUCGACCGCCUGGGGAGUACGGCCGCAAGGUUAAAACCCAAAUGAAUUGACGGGGGCCCGCACAAGCGGUGGAGCAUGUGGUUUAAUUCGAUGCAACGCGAAGAACCUUACCUACUCUUGACAUCCAGAGAAUUUGCUAGAGAUAGCUUAGUGCCUUCGGGGACUCUGAGACAGGUGCUGCAUGGCUGUCGUCAGCUCGUGUUGUGAAAUGUUGGGUUAAGUCCCGCAACGAGCGCAACCCUUAUCCUUUGUUGCCAGCACGUAAUGGUGGGAACUCAAAGGAGACUGCCGGUGAUAAACCGGAGGAAGGUGGGGAUGACGUCAAGUCAUCAUGGCCCUUACGAGUAGGGCUACACACGUGCUACAAUGGCAUAUACAAAGAGAAGCGAACUCGCGAGAGCAAGCGGACCUCAUAAAGUAUGUCGUAGUCCGGAUUGGAGUCUGCAACUCGACUCCAUGAAGUCGGAAUCGCUAGUAAUCGUAGAUCAGAAUGCUACGGUGAAUACGUUCCCGGGCCUUGUACACACCGCCCGUCACACCAUGGGAGUGGGUUGCAAAAGAAGUAGGUAGCUUAACCUUCGGGAGGGCGCUUACCACUUUGUGAUUCAUGACUGGGGUGAAGUCGUAACAAGGUAACC
rnacentral:rRNA from 1 species